rnacentral:rRNA from 1 species
GAUGAACGCUAGCUACAGGCUUAACACAUGCAAGUCGAGGGGAAACGAUAGAGAAAGCUUGCUUUUUCUAGGCGUCGACCGGCGCACGGGUGAGUAACGCGUAUCCAACCUGCCCACCACUUGGGGAUAACCUUGCGAAAGUAAGACUAAUACCCAAUGACGUCUCUAGAAGACAUCUGAAAGAGAUUAAAGAUUUAUCGGUGAUGGAUGGGGAUGCGUCUGAUUAGCUUGUUGGCGGGGUAACGGCCCACCAAGGCGACGAUCAGUAGGGGUUCUGAGAGGAAGGUCCCCCCACAUUGGAACUGAGACACGGUCCAAACUCCUACGGGAGGCAGCAGUGAGGAAUAUUGGUCAAAUGGGGCGAGAGUCUGAACCAGCCAAGUAGCGUGCAGGAUGACGGCCCUAUGGGUUGUAAACUGCUUUUA